rnacentral:lncRNA from 1 species
GGCAGAAGGAGCAGUUUAGUGAUGGUGUUGGGUAUAGCUGGAUUGAUGGCCUGAAGGAUCAUGCAGCCUCAAAUGUAAAUGAACAAUUUUUUUAUUUUAAAGAAUUCUUUAUGAUGUUUGUUUUGACAAAACUAAUACAUUCCCUGAUAGAAAGAUGUGACCACAAUAUCUGACCUAUAUGAAAUGAAAUCACUGAAUGCAGGUGAGUGAUAAGAUGAUGUCCAAUGCAAAGUUCAUCUACCCACACAACACCCCAACAACUAAAGAGGCCUACUAUUACAGGAUGAUCUUUGAGAGGUACUUCCCCCAGGUGAGUGACUAAAUAGAACAGGUUGAAGAACAACAUGAAUAGUUCAAUACCAUUGUAGCAAUGUUAAUGGAAGCAAUGUUGGUUGCUUGAUCUUGUUUCAGAGCUCGGCGAUCCUCACGGUGCCAGGCGGGCCAAGCGUGGCGUGCAGCACAGCCAAGGCUAUAGAGUGGGAUGCCCAAUGGUCUGGGAACCUGGACCCCUCUGGGAGAGCAGCGCUUGGAGUCCAUCUCUCAGCCUACGAGCAGGACACGGUCGCUGUGGGAGGUAGCAACAAGCCUGGGGUGAUGAACACCGUGGUACCUGGUGUUGCCAUUGAGACUUGAUGAAUGGUACAUGUAUCAUAUCGUGUCCUACUAAAGGCAAAUAAGAACGGUUGUGUGCAUCGCUUCAUGUAGAGGCCGGGCAUACUCCUUUUCAAAAAAAAAAGAGAAAAUAAGAUGCAUAUGUUCUUGUCAGCGUUGUAAUAAGACGGGCCUAUGUUUUGCUAUUUAAUUAAAGG